AUGAGGGAAUCUGAGCUCCCAACCCAUGCUCGUGUUGCCAAGUAUUUUUCAUGGGUUUGCAGCAAUGCUUAUCCUCUUAACAUGGUGGACAUUAAUUUUUUUAUAACACAGGAUACAUAUGACCUGUUGUUUUCCGGUAGAGACAACAAGAUAGAGCUUGAUCGCAUUGUUGGAUGCAUACCACAGGCUGCUGACACAGAUAUUUCAGCCUUAGUUGAAAUUGAGAAAAAUAGCAGACAUCGCUUUGAGUUCUUCAUGGAUCUUGUUGGGGAUCAGCCUAUCUGUGCUUGCACUGCCUGGGCAUGUAUGAUGAAAUCAGGUGGCCGCAUUUCACAUGCUUUGUCUGUGUAUAGUUGUCAACUUCGCCAUCCCAACCAGAAUGUUGUUGUGUUCCCUUCUCGUGCUGUGGCAAUAGAAAAUGCUCUUCAAUUGUUCUCACCGGCGCUCGCAAUUGUUGAUGAACAUUUGACCAGACACUUGCCCAAGCAAUGGCUAGAACAGAGUACAGUUACUGUGAUUGAGGCACCACGCCAGUCAGAUUUACUGAUUGAGUUGAUCAGGAAGCCAAAGCCUCAAGUUGUUGUUACUGGGAUGGCUCAAUUUGAGGCUAUCACAAGUUUAUUCCGAUCUGAAGUUUCUUUUGCCAUAUCUGAAGAUGCAGCUGUAUAUAAAGCAUUGUCACAAACUAUUGAGCUAUUAGAAGGCCACAUGUCUUUGAUCAGCCAGCACUAUUAUGGUUGCCUUUUCCAUGAGCUUCUGGCAUUUCAAAUUGCUGACCGGCAUCCACAGCAGGAGGAUGCUUUAUUGUGUUUUUCAAUGAUUUUGUAUAAUUGUGAGCAAGGUGAAACAUCACUGAUUCUGAGACCGAUGUUCAUUCCAGCAUCCAGCAGCUGGCAAGAACAGGGCACCUUGCUUUUCCCCUUGGGCACCAAUGGCCAUUACAUCUCUGCAGCAAAGUUUGUGAAUGCAAGCACCUUGACUAUACCUACAACUUUCAGUUCAGGAUUCAAGAUUGAGCCAAAGGUUCUAGCUUUUUUGCGAAACAGCGAAAGUUUCUAUGCUUUCAAGCUAUGUUUGACAUUUUCUCUUGUGUCACCGUUGCACAAUGAACAGACGUUGCAGAGCUGUGGCUGGGACGUUGCCAGCGGUUGUGCUGGCAUAUCGAUGCUGGCGAAACCGACUGCCUACAUUGGGAAGCGCUUCAAAGCUGAUGGCUUUGAGGGCAAGCUGGAUGCGAGCAACAUCAGGGAAACCAUCCUCAGAGCCACGGGGCUGUGCAUAAACAGCAGCUCCUGGACUGGGAUACCCGACUACUGCCGGUUCAGCUUUGCGCUGGAGAGCGGCAAAUUUGAGCGCGCAAUGGGAUGCAUAACUCGGUUCAAGGAGUUGGUUCUGGGAGGCAAUUAUCUCCAUCAGAUCGGGGUAGCUCUAGACAAGGCUAACCAAACAGCAUUUUUAUUUCAUGCCGAACCAAACCGCCCGAAACGGGCCUCAUUCCGGGCCGUUCCAACACAAACGAGCGAGUCCUCUGGGCGUUCUGACACAAACAAGAGUAGGACCAAUCAAGGCCGAAGCCGAGCCGCCUACGCCACUCCGCACCCGCUCUCCGCCGCCGCCGCCGGUCCGCACCCGCUCUCCGCCGCCGGUCCGCACCCGCUCUCCGCCGCCGCCGCCGGUCCGCACCCGCUCUCCGCCGCCGCGCCGAGAUGGGUAUCACGGUGA
rnacentral:rRNA from 1 species